rnacentral:rRNA from 13 species
CGAGCUGGGUUAAAUAUGUCGUGAGACAGUAUGGUUUCUAUCUUCUAGAGGAAAUAAGAGUAAAAAAAGGAUAGCCCUUUCGUACGAAAGGAGUUGGGUAUAUUAACCUCUGGUUUACCUGUUGUU